GACGAACGCUGGCGGCGUGCCUAAUACAUGCAAGUAGAACGCAGUUGCGAACGGGUGAGUAACGCGUAGGUAACUGCCUCAUAGCGGGGGAUAACUAUUGGAAACGAUAGCUAAUACCGCAUAAUGUGAGAUGGACCUGCGUUGUAUUAGCUAGUUGGUGAGGUAAAGGCUCACCAAGGCGACGAUACAUAGCCUACCUGAGAGGGUGUGCGGCCACACUGGGACUGGGUAACGGCCCAGACUCCUACGGGAGGCAGCAGUAGGGAAUCUUCGGGAAAGGGCGGAAGUCUGACCGGGCAACGCCGCGUGAAUGAAGAAGGUUUUCGGAUCGUAAAGCUCUGGUGUUAGAGAAACGGUAACUAACCAGAAAGGGACGGCUAACUACGUGCCAGCAGCCGCGGUAAUUC
rnacentral:rRNA from 1 species